GUUAUAGGAUCAAGCGACUAAGUGCAUCUGGUGGAUGCCUUGGCGAUGAUAGGCGAAGAAGGACGCGUUAGCCUGCGAAAAGCGAUGGGGAGCUGGCAAAUAAGCUUUGAUCCAUCGAUAUCCGAAUGGGGAAACCCGGCCCUUUUGGGUCACUCAUCACUGAAUACAUAGGUGGUGUAGAGCGAACUCGGCGAACUGAAACAUCUAAGUAGCCGAAGGAAAAGAAAUCAACCGAGAUUCCCAAAGUAGUGGCGAGCGAAAUGGGAAGAGCCUGCAUGUGAUAGAUCAAACUUUAGUGGAACAGUCUGGAAAGUCUGGCGAUAGUGGGUGAUAGCCCCGUACACGAAAGAGAUUGGUUGGUACUAAGCAUGCGAGAAGUAGGGCGGGACACGAGAAAUCCUGUUUGAAGAUGGGGGGACCAUCCUCCAAGGCUAAAUACUCAUCAUCGACCGAUAGUGAACCAGUACCGUGAGGGAAAGGCGAAAAGAACCCCGGGAGGGGAGUGAAAUAGAACCUGAAACCGGAUGCAUACAAACAGUGGGAGCCCUUGCAAAAUGGGGUGACUGCGUACCUUUUGUAUAAUGGGUCAGCGACUUACGUUCAGUAGCGAGCUUAACCGAGUAGGGGAGGCGUAGGGAAACCGAGUCCGAAUAGGGCGCAUAGUUGCUGGGCGUAGACCCGAAACCAAGUGAUCUAUCCAUGGCCAGGAUGAAGCUGCGGUAAUACGCAGUGGAGGUCCGAACCCACUAAUGUUGCAAAAUUAGGGGAUGAGCUGUGGAUAGGGGUGAAAGGCUAAACAAACUUGGAAAUAGCUGGUUCUCCUCGAAAACUAUUUAGGUAGUGCCUCAUGUAUCACUGACGGGGGUAAAGCACUGUUAUGGCUAGGGGGUCAUCGCGACUUACCAAACCAUGGCAAACUCUGAAUACCGUCAAGUGCGAGCAUGGGAGACAGACUGUGGGUGCUAACGUCCAUGGUCAAGAGGGAAACAACCCAGAUCGCCGUCUAAGGUCCCAAAUAAUCAGUUAAGUGGAAAACGAGGUGGGAAGGCAUAGACAGCCAGGAUGUUGGCUUAGAAGCAGCCAUCAUUUAAAGAAAGCGUAAUAGCUCACUGGUCGAGUCGUCCUGCGCGGAAGAUGUAACGGGGCUCAAACUGAUAACCGAAGACGCGAAUAUGUACCGAUGGUACAUAUGGUAGAGGAGCGUUCCGUAGGCCUGCGAAGGUGUCUUGAGAAGGAUGCUGGAGGUAUCGGAAGUGCGAAUGCUGACAUGAGUAGCGAUAAUGCGGGUGAAAAGCCCGCACACCGAAAACCCAAGGUUUCCUGCGCAACGUUCAUCGGCGCAGGGUGAGUCGGCCCCUAAGGCGAGGCAGAAAUGCGUAGUCGAUGGACAACGGGUUAAUAUUCCCGUACCGAUAUGAAGUGCGAUGGGGGACGGAGAAAGGUAGGUCAGCCAUCUGUUGGAAUAGGUGGUUUAAGCGAGUAGGCGUGUGGCUUAGGCAAAUCCGGGCUGCUAUAACGCUGAGACGUGACGACGAAGUCUUCGGACUGAAGUGAUUGAUCCUAUGCUUCCAAGAAAAGCCUCUAAGCUUCAGCUUUAUAUUGACCGUACCGCAAACCGACACAGGUGGGUAGGAAGAGAAUUCUAAGGUGCUUGAGAGAACUCAGGAGAAGGAACUCGGCAAAUUAUCACCGUAACUUCGGGAGAAGGUGAGCCCAGAGUAUGUGAAGUUCUUCGCGAAUGGAGCAGAAAUGGGUCGCAGAGAAAUGGGGGCUGCGACUGUUUAUCAAAAACACAGCACUCUGCAAAGUCGAAAGACGACGUAUAGGGUGUGACGCCUGCCCGGUGCUGGAAGAUUAAAUGAUGGGGUGCAAGCUCUUGACUGAAGUCCCAGUAAACGGCGGCCGUAACUAUAACGGUCCUAAGGUAGCGAAAUUCCUUGUCGGGUAAGUUCCGACCCGCACGAAUGGCGUAACGAUGGCCCUACUGUCUCCUCCUGAGACUCAGCGAAGUUGAAAUGUUUGUGAAGAUGCAAUCUCCCCGCUGCUAGACGGAAAGACCCCGUGAACCUUUACUGUAGCUUUGCAUUGGACUUUGAAGUGGUUUGUGUAGGAUAGGUGGGAGGCUAUGAAGCGUGGACGCUAGUCUGCGUGGAGCCGACCUUGAAAUACCACCCUGACCCCUUUGAGGUUCUAACCUUGGUCCGUUAUCCGGAUCGGGGACCGUGCAUGGUAGGCAGUUUGACUGGGGCGGUCUCCUCCCAAAUUGUAACGGAGGAGCUCGAAGGUCGCCUAGGUACGGUCGGACAUCGUACUGAUAGUGUAAUGGCAUAAGGCGGCUUAACUGCGAGACAGACAAGUCGAGCAGGUGCGAAAGCAGGACAUAGUGAUCCGGUGGUUCUGAAUGGAAGGGCCAUCGCUCAACGGAUAAAAGGUACUCCGGGGAUAACAGGCUGAUUCCGCCCAAGAGUUCACAUCGACGGCGGAGUUUGGCACCUCGAUGUCGGCUCAUCACAUCCUGGGGCUGUAGCCGGUCCCAAGGGUAUGGCUGUUCGCCAUUUAAAGUGGUACGUGAGCUGGGUUCAAAACGUCGUGAGACAGUUUGGUCCCUAUCUGCAGUGGGCGUUGGAAAUUUGAGGGGGGCUGCUCCUAGUACGAGAGGACCGGAGUGGACAGAUCUCUGGUGUACCGGUUGUCACGCCAGUGGCAUCGCCGGGUAGCUAAAUCUGGAAGAGAUAAGCGCUGAAAGCAUCUAAGCGCGAAACUCGCCUCAAGAUGAGAUUUCCCCAAGGCUUUAAGCCUUUUAAAGGGUCGUUCGAGACCAGGACGUUGAUAGGUCGGGUGUGGAAGCGCAGUAAUGCGUUAAGCUAACCGAUACUAAUUGCCCGUAAGGCUUGAUCCUAUAACCUGAGACGCGU
rnacentral:rRNA from 1 species